UACGUAGGGUGCAAGCGUUGUCCGGAAUUAUUGGGCGUAAAGAGCUCGUAGGCGGUUUGUCGCGUCUGCUGUGAAAACUCGGGGCUUAACCCCGGGCCUGCAGUGGGUACGGGCAGACUAGAGUGCGGUAGGGGAGACUGGAAUUCCUGGUGUAGCGGUGAAAUGCGCAGAUAUCAGGAGGAACACCGGUGGCGAAGGCGGGUCUCUGGGCCGUAACUGACGCUGAGGAGCGAGAGCGUGGGGAGCGAACAGG
rnacentral:rRNA from 1 species